rnacentral:rRNA from 1 species
CUAAGCGUACACGGUGGAUGCCCUGGCAGUCAGAGGCGAUGAAGGGCGUGCUAAUCUGCGAUAAGCGCCGGUAAGGUGAUAUGAACCGUUAUAACCGGCGAUACCCGAAUGGGGAAACCCAGUGUGACUCGUCACACUAUCAUUAACUGAAUCCAUAGGUUAAUGAGGCGAACCGGGGGAACUGAAACAUCUAAGUAACCCGAGGAAAAGAAAUCAACCGAGAUUCCCCCA